AGAGAUCAUAUGAUCUGUAAGCCUAAAAUAGUUACCAUAAGGCCCUUUACAGAAAAAAUUGUCUGACCCUGCUUUUACAAGGCUUAUAGUUCUCAUAUAACACUGUGGGGUAAGCAGAGAAGUGGUGUUUCUCUUUUUCACAUGUGAAAAAAGAGACUUUGAGAGAAAAAGUGAAUCAAUUAAUGCCACAUAGCUUUAAAACAAAAAAAAAGGAAUUUAUACUGGAGCCCAAACUGCAAGUGACAUUGUCUUAAUCCCUACCCAAGUUUGUAUACUUUGGUUAAACAGUACACAAAUAAUGGAUCAAGUGGUGUGAGGGAGAUUAGCAAAUAGGUUAUAAAGCCAAAGCAAGGGAGAACAGUUUAUAAAUGCAGGAACCCAAACAUCUGGGCCACUAGAGUAAACAUUCUUGUACUUUCAAAAUAUACAAGAGGCAAUGUGAUUAGUAACAAGCAUAAAGGAAAUCUUCCAACUCACCAGUGAGUAAAGAAGUACAAGAAGAUUUUAAUGAGAUACUACUAUUCAUUCUAAAUUAGCAAAAAUGUUAGAUAAUCACGUCUGAUAGAGGUGAUGUGCUGAAACUGGAAUAGUUACUUACAGAUUGCUUAUAGUAAUGUAAAGUCAUUACAGAUACCCCAACAAGAAUCAGUAUCACUGAUUCUUGUUGAUGUAUGACAGAAAACCACAAAAUUCUGAGAGCAAUUAUCCUUCAAUUAAAAAAAAUAAAAAAGCAGACACUAUAAUUGAAAAGGAAAAAAAGAAACAACUUACCUCAUUAAAUACUAACUGUGGGGUCCUGGGCGCCGCCAUCUUGGGGAACUGAGUGGCCCAAUGAGACGCUGCCCUGUGGGGAACGCAGGGCACGCACACGCAGGCGGGGCUCACUAGGUCACGGCUAUGGAGGCGCCUGCAGUCCACCUGCUGCCGUUGCUGCUGCUGUUUGUGCCCUGGGCCCUGGAGCCAGGCAGCACCUCUGCGGAGGCUCCGCCACUGGUCAACGAAGAGGUGAGGCGUACGGUGGACCUGAGCAGCCACCUGGCCAAGGUGACAGCCGAGGUGGUCCUGGCUCACGCGGGCAGUGACUCCUCGCCCCACGCUGCCUCCUUCCUGGUAGCGCUGGAGCCCGAGUUGGAGGCCCAGCUGGCACACCUCGGCGUGCAGGUGACGGGAGUGGAUGAGGAAACCAACAGUCUGGAAGUACAGGAGACCAAAAUUAACGGCAAAAGCGGGAGAUUCUUCACAGUCCAACUCCCAGUUGCUCUCGAUCCUGGGGCCGAGGUUUCAGUCGUUGUGGAAGCCAUUUAUACCCACGUGAUUCAGCCGUAUCCAACCCAGAUCACCCAGUCUGAGAAACAGUUUGUGGUGUUUGAGGGGAACCAUUAUUUCUACUCUCCCUACCCGACCAAGACGCAAACCAUGCGUGUGAAGCUCGCCUCCCCAAACGUGGAGAGCUAUACCAAAUUGGGCAACCCCAUGCGCCACAACAAUCUCCUGGAUUACGGCCCUUUCCACGACAUCCCUGCCUAUAGUCAGGAUAGUUUUAAAGUACAUUCUGAGAACAACAGCCCUUUCCUGACCGUCACCAGCAUGACCCGAGUCAUCGAGGUCUCACACUGGGGUAAUAUUGCUGUGGAAGAAAACGUGAACCUGAAGCACACGGGGGCUGUGCUGAAGGGGUCUUUUUCGCGUUAUGAUUAUGACGGAUGGAUAGAUAGUGGCAUCUCCUCCAUCCGUUCUUUUAAGACCAUCCUUCCUGCCUCUGCCCAGGAUGUUUAUUACCGGGAUGAGAUUGGCACCAUUUACACCAGACACCUCCUUAUUUUGGAUGACUCGGUGGAGAUGGAAAUGAAGCCUCGUUUCCCUCUCUUUGGCGGAUGGAAGACUCAUUACAUCAUUGGCUACAACCUCCCAAGCUAUGAGUACCUCUAUAAUUUGGGAGACCAGUAUGUGUUGAAGAUGAGGCUUGUGGACCACGUGUUUGAUAAACAAGUGAUAGAUUCUCUGACUGUGAAGAUCAUCCUCCCUGAAGGGGCCAGGAGCAUCCAGGUGGACAGUCCCUAUGAGAUCAGCCGAGCCCCCGACGAGCUGCACUAUACCUACCUGGACACGUUUGGCCGUCCUGUGAUUGUGGCCCACAAGAAAAACCUGGUGGAAGAGCACAUUCAGGACAUCAUGGUGCACUACACCUUCAGCAAGGUGCUCAUGCUACAGGAGCCCCUGCUGUUGGUGGCCGCCUUCUCCAUUCUGUUCUUCACCAUCAUCAUCUAUGUCAGGCUGGACUUAUCCAUCACAAAGAAUCCAGCUGCAGAAGCCAGGAUGAAGGUGGCUUGCAUAACAGAGCAGGUCUUGACCCUGGUCAGCAAGAGACUAGGUCUCUACCAUCACUUUGACAAGACGGUCAGUAGAUACAAACAGUCCCGGGAUGUGUCCAGCCUCAAUAGUGGCAAGAAGAGCCUGGAAACUAAGCACAAGGCUUUGACCAGCGAGGUGGCAGUGCUGCAGUCCAGGCUGAAAACUGAGGGCUCCAACCUGUGCGACAAAGUGAGCGAAAUGCAAAAACUGGACACGCAGGUCAAGGAGCUGGUCCUGAAGUCAGCAGUAGAGGCCGAGUGGCUGGUGGCCGGCAAGCUCAAGAAAGACAUCUACAUCGAGAAUAAAAAGCUCAUUUCAGGAAAGCGACGGGAGCUGGUCAGCAAGAUUGAACACAUCCUGGAUACCCUGUAGCCCUCCAGAGGGCAGGGUGGGCAGUGAACAUGGAGGCCAGCAGAUUAUGGCUUCUGUAUUUUGCCAAAGGUCUUCAAGGAAGAGAGAAGCCAGGCCUUGCCUCAAGCAACACAAGAAGCUUAGUUUUUAUCCCUAAAAUGUUCUUAAAAAACAAAACAAAACACCUAGAUAUCAUUUAAAACAAAAUAUCUUUGAAUUUUGAACAAAGAAGUUUUUGAGUUGGCUUUGUUUGUUCUGAAGCCUAGGAUAUUCUUUUCACCUCAAGCCCCUUGUUUUACACCCUUCUAAUUCCUGAGAUUUGGAUAUUUUACAAGCAUGUGUAUGUUUUUUAAAGCACAUAUGACCAAAUGAAAAUAAAGCUAAGGCUGUAAAAAAAAAACAAACUCUA